AAAAAAAAAAAAAAAAAUUAUUUUUUCAUCCUUCACAUAACUCAGGGUUCUUUCCCAUUUUAGUAUCUUCAUAAUCUGUGCUUCAAACUACACUUCCGUUUAAAACUUUUUCUUCCUAAAUUGCAUUGUGAGUAGACUCAACAUUUCUCAAUAAUGUUGAUAUUUGAGAAGCAGUGUCAUAUAUUCACUUAGUUAUAUUCAAUGUUCUAAAAGAUGUUAGGCGCUAUUCAGGCGGCGAGCUGAGGCCUAGUGCCUGCCUAGGCGGACAAUCCGGAUUUAAGUAAAUAUAAUACAAAUGAAUUGAAUGUUACAUAUAAUAUGUAAUGUAAUGCUUAAAUAAUACAUAUGCAAUGUUUGAGUUUAAAUACAUAAUAAUAUAAAUGGUCUUAAAAGACAAAAAGAAUAAAAAAAAUAAUACAAAAAAUAGAUAAAAAAAAAGAAUAAAAAGUGCCGAUUGAUUUAAGAGAGAAAAGAAAUAAAAGAUUGUAAAAGUUAGUAAAAAGAGUUAGUGGAAAAGAAUAUAAAUUAGUGAAUUGGGUUAUUGGAAACACUAAUGGCAAGAAACGUGCAACCAAAAUAGAGAUUGUGGGACCAUGAAGAAAUAAUACGAGUGUAUUUUUGCUAACUACCGUGAAGUGCACCACCUUUUUUUAACCGUUAGAUGAGUUUGAAUUUUUAGAUUUGCGUCUAUUCACUAUACGAAUUUUGAAAUUCAAACUCAUCUAAUGGUGAUAAACAAGGUGGUGAGCAAAAAUGCUCCCAAAUAAUGCCGUCAUUUAAAUUGAAAAAGAAGAUGUGGUCCCCACAUGUCCAUCUUCUUCCUCCCAACUCUGCAACUCUUUUAUUCCAAAUUCUUAAUAUUUUCUAGAUUUCGGUGACUUAACAUAUAGCCACCUAAACCUACCUAAGCUUGUCUAGCCUCCGCCCAGCCUCGUCUAGACCUGCAAAUUGCCGCCUAGCCUUGCCUAAUCCUGCUCAAGUGGCUGCCUAAUAUGUUUACUGAUUUUACGAUCGAUUAGGAGUUACCACAGCAGUCGGUCAUCGUCUAGCACCUAGGCACAGCCUAGGCUGAUUUUUAGAACAUUGGUUAUAUUACAAUUAAAACAAUAACUUUUUUUUUUGCAAUUGACAUGCACAUGCAUAUCCUUAGGUGAAAUGAUAAAAACAUUAUGAGCCUGUUUUGGCCUGGAAUAAAGGUUUGGGUCAAAAAUGGAUAACAGAACGUUGAUUCGACUGAGUCUCUAUAGAAGUAGGACUAUUACAUUAUGUUUGGAUGAAGGAAAUAAACUUGGAAUUUGGAUUAAAAUCGGAAUUUAUAAAUUGACAUGUACCAAUUCCCUUGUUUGGAUUCAUAAAUAUAGAAAUUUAGAAUUUCCGCGUGGAAAAAAAUUUGGAACUUGGGACCACCAAUUCCCAAGUUUAAAUUCUAUGUAAAUAGGUAUCAUUUUCCAAUUUCUAUGAUUGAGAGUUUAAAAAUAACAAAUUCUGUAUUCAAUUCUAUUGGUCUUUUAAAUUAACCAAACAAGAAAAUUCACAAAUUCUAGGAAAUAAAAUCUCGACAUUUCAAUUUCUGUCAUUUUAAAAUUCCUUAGUAAACUUUAAUUUCUUUAUUCAAACAUAGUGUUAUAGGAUCCAACUUAACCGUGGAUCACUCGUGUCCUAAGCGAAUUAAAAUUACCAAGGAUCAUGAUGGGUUUGGAUAUGAUUCAAACUAUUCUAGGGAUCAAAAUUUAUGUUUGACCAGAUAAGGAUGAUUCAAGUGCACAAAGGGACUAGGUUUAGAAUUCUGGUACAAGUCAAAGAGGCUGAGACUGCAUAGAGAAUGAGUUUCGCCUAAGGAAGUGAAUAUUGGGAUAAAGAGGAAAUAUUCAGGUAAAUGCCAAGUAGGCAUAGUCCUAUCAGGACUCUAGCUUGGCAGACUUGUUUAUCACGAAGUCCACCUUAUAAAUAGAAGAGGUUCUACAACAUGGAAAUGCCUUCAAAUCAACAAACAACUCAAAAUGCUUUACGCGAAAACUCUUGCUCUAGUCGAAAUCCUUCUCACAACCCUGAGAAAAAUACUAUCCUAAUUUUCUCGUGAACAUAUCUUCAAUUUGGAUAAGUAACAACACUGGAUAGUAAAAUUAGGCGAUUUUAAAGAAUCUUCAGUUUGGACAAGUAAACAAUACUAGUUGGUUGGUUAUCUAUCCAAGUCUCGACAAGCAAAGAGUUUUCAAUUCUUUCGCCUAAAGGGGUCACUUCAUUAGCUUUUCAAUGAAGUGAGGUGUUACUAGGUCACUUCGUGUUUGACACGUUAAAACCCGAGACACUUAUCGAACUUCGUAGCGAAAAGCAACCUUGUCUUCAAGUUAGUAGAACCCCAAGCUAAUAGGUGUUCCUGAUAGGAGCAUAUUUAUGCGACUUAGUUGGCUUGUUCUUGUGCAUUUAUGUCGUGUUUCCUUAGUUAUUUUAAUGUUUAAAGUCAUUUUCAUGUGUUUUCAGAUUUUAUGGACAAAGUAGGCAAGAAGAUGCAUUUUGGAGCAUUUUGGAGCAAAAUGGAGCUUG
rnacentral:lncRNA from 1 species